rnacentral:lncRNA from 1 species
AGUUGGGGAGGAAAGGGUUUAUUUGGCUUACAUUUCCAUCACAAUCAUCAAAGAAGGUCAGGACAAAAACCUCAAACAGGGCAGGAACCUGGAGGCAGGAGCUGAUAUAGAUGCUGCUCACUGGCUUGCUCUCAUGGUUAUGCUCAGUCUAACUACUUCCUUAUAGAACCCAGGACUAGAAUGGCAGGUCGUGUCUCAAUAGCACACUAGGCCAAGGCAGUUCCACAUGGAAGAGGUUUUAUUGGAAGGGAGAGACAAGGUAGUGGCAGAAAGAGAAGAUGGGAGAAAGAGAAUGAGAAAGGGGCAUUCUCCUUAUUUAUAUGGAAAAUGACGUAACACAGGUAAAGGUGAGAGGUGAGCCAAGUGGAUGCUAGAAAUAUUGGUGCCUGUUGGCAACCAAUCUGCAGGCCGCGCUGUCACCUAUGUGUGUUAUAGAUUUGGGAUGUCCUGAUGUCAACAACCAGCCUAUGGAUGGAACCACUCAAUGGGUUGGUCCCUACCCUAUUGAUCACUAAGAAAAUGCCCUACAGGUUUGCCGAGAGCCCAGUCUUAGGGAGGAAUUUUCUCAAUUGAGGUUCCUUCCUCUCAGAUGAUUUUAGCAUGUUUCAAGUUGACAAAAACUAUCCAGCACAAGGUAAUACCAGACACAUCUAGCUACCCACGUUUAUUGUUUUCUGUGAGUCUGAAUAAACUCUCAAGGGAACAGGACCCUUUCCCAAGAAUAAAGAUUUAAGCUAACCUAACAGAUAAUGGCUGUAGUAGUAGGCGCAAAAUAGCACGUUUGCCUUCAUGUUUAAUAAAAAUAGUUUACACUACUCACAUCAAGGAUUCAUUAUAUUUCCUCAAUAAUACUACGGUGUUUUUUUUUUUCAAAUGAUGGUUUUAUUGUUCCAAUAGUACGUGAUUUAAUGUUAUUUUUAGUAUUUUAUUUAUAAUUGUAAAAGUUGACUAAGAAAAGGUCAGCGAUACACAAUAUGUCCCAUGAAUUAAAAUUCCUGAAUAUUCUAUAUUUUCAUUCUUUGAGUCUACAAGGAGAUAAUAUGGGCCAUCCUUACCAGUUAUUUCCCAACCCAAACUAGCUCCUUUCAUCUUUGGUAGUCCAUCUUUUUAAUAGGAAGACCUCUGAGACUCAGGAAUUUAAGGUACUGUUGAUUGACGUGACCUCAGUGACUCCUGUUGUAGAAAUUAAAAAGGAGUAACAGUGAUAGGCUUAAGAAUACAUCAAAUUUAUAAGCAUAUGUGAGUAUAUUCCAUGAUAGUUUUUAAAGUAAAGUUUUUAAUUUUCACCAUUAGCACUUUUGAAAUAUUGCCAAUAGAAUUAACACCUGAUGCAAAGUACACAUUCCUGCUGCAAAGGGAGAAGGGUAUUUCUUGUUAUUGCAUUCAUCAGACUGUGGGAAAUCUCAAGGGUUCUUUUUGCCAUCAAAUAUUGCAUACCCACUAGACAACUGAUAAUAUGAUGAAGUGGUAAUCAAGGCAGAUGAACUUCAACCUAAACAGCUUAGAAAAAUCCUUGGUCUUGUACAUGUGUUCACUGGUGAGAAUGUUCUCUAAGUUAACUCCAAGAUGUGUGGCUGGUGUCUCAUUAAUGGCAUCCUUGUUUGUGUUUAAUGAGAGUCUUUAUUUUAUUUAUUUUGCUUCAUAAUUCUCAAUGUAAGAGAUACAUUUAAAUUCUCAUACACGUUAUGAAUGUGUCUGCAAGGUAUUCAGUGCUAGAAAAUAAGUGUUGCAAAAUGAUAGUUAUCAGAACAGCACAGGUUUAUGUCUACUUAGUGUCUGGGUUGCGCCAUGGAAGCUAAUUAUUUGUUUAUUCUCAUCCAGCAGUCCUAACCUGUGAGUUGUGACCUGCAUUAUGAUUCAUAGCAGUAGCAAAAUUAUAGUUUUGAAGUAGCAAUGAAAUAGAUUUAUGGUUUGGGGUCACUAACAUGAGGAACCAUGUCAAAGGGUCACAGCAUUAAGAGGUUGGACAUAAGGUUGAGAAGCACUGGUCUUAGGUAUAGAUACUGGCCCAGAUGUUUGGUAUCCACACUAACAUGGAACACUUGUCUUUUCUACCUUCAUAUCUGGUUCAGACAAAGUUCAGAAUUUCUCUUACAUUUUACUACAGUGGACACAUGAAAGAUGUUUAAUUCAGGAUUCUGGAUUUUAUUGUAGCUUGAUCACAGGGGAAGAAAUAUAAACGAUUUCAGGUAGAAUUGCUACAUGACUAAAACUGGAGGUCCAAAAAUGUUGCAUACCUUCUUUCCUUGUAAAAGGGGUGUGUGUGUGUGUGUGUGUGUGUGUGUGUGUGUGUGUGCUAUUAAAAUUUUACUUAUUAGCAAAAACAAAACAAAAAUCUACAAGCAAACAAACAAAAACAAAAACCUGCCUUAAAAUAGCAUUUACACAUUAGAUCAAAAUACAACAAUCCAGAAAGUUGGCCUAAGUCAGUUUUCUUCACUACUAAAUAACAUUCAUCUUCAUUUUGAGAAAAUUUCUGUUUACAAAGAAAAUAAGAACCAAAAUGUAUAGAUUCUAAUUCGUUAGGCUGUUAGUUUUUACUGUCUAAAGUACCAUAUACUUCAGUUAGGAGCAUUGAAACUUAAUGUUCUGUAGCACAAUAGGGUGACUAAACUUCAUGACAUUUUAUAAAGUACAAGAAAUAUCCUUAACAAAAUGUUUAUGGACAGGGCCAUUAGUCUCCUUAUUUGAUCAUAGUAUAAUGUGUACAUGUAUCAUGCCCUUUGAGUAUAUGUAAUUUUGUGUCAAUUUAAAAGACACCUUAUAUUUUAGUUUGUUACAUUAUAUUAUGAUUGCCUGCUUUUUAUCUUCUGUCUAGACAGUAAACUCUUGUUCCAAUUUU